rnacentral:rRNA from 1 species
UACGUAGGGGGCGAGCGUUGUCCGGAUUUACUGGGUGUAAAGGGCGCGUAGGCGGAUCUGUUAGUCAAGGGUGAAAUCCUACAGCUUAACUGUAGAACUGCCUUUGAUACUGCAAAUCUUGAGUUCGAAAGAGAGUAGCGGAAUUCCAGGUGUAGUGGUGAAAUACGUAGAUAUCUGGAAGAACACCAGUGGCGAAGGCGGCUACUUGGUUCGUAACUGACGCUGAGGCGCGAAAGCGUGGGGAGCAAACAGGAUUAGAUACCCCUGUAGUCC